rnacentral:rRNA from 1 species
UGAAUACGAGACGCUAAGGCGUCGAAGUAGUGUAUGUCAUACUUCCAAGAAAAGCUUGCACUGUCAUAAGUAAAAAAUGCCUGUACCAUAACCGACACAGGUGGGUAGGUAGAGUAUACUAAGGGGCGCGAGAUAACUCUCUCUAAGGAACUCGGCAAAAUAACUCCGUAACUUCGGGAGAAGGAGUACCUUAUUCUAUAAGGUUGCAAUAACAAGAUCCAAGCAACUGUUUAUCAAAAACACAGGUCUCCGCUAAGUCGUAAGACGAUGUAUGGGGGCUGACGCCUGCCCAGUGCCAGAAGGUUAAAGAAGUCGGUUAGCAUUAGCGAAGCUGGUAACUGAAGCCCUGGUGAACGGCGGCCGUAACAAUAACGGUCCUAAGGUAGCGAAAUUCCUUGUCGGGUAAGUUCCGACCCGCACGAAAGGCGUAAUGAUUUGGAUACUGUCUCGGAGAGGGGCUCGGUGAAAUAGACUUGUCUGUGAAGAUGCGGACUACCUGCACCAGGACAGAAAGACCCUAUGAAGCUUUACUGUAACUUGAAAUUGAAAUUGGACUUUAUUCGCGCAGUAUAGGUGGGAGGUGUUGAUUAUAAUCUUGCGGGAUUAUUGGAGCCAUCAGUGAGAUACCACUCUUGUAAUGUUAGAUUUCUAACUUUGAAUCAUUAUCUGGUCAAAGGACAGUUUCAGGCGGGCAGUUUGACUGGGGCGGUCGCCUCCCAAACGGUAACGGAGGCGUACAAAGGUUUCCUCUGAACGGGUAGAAAUCGUAUCUAGAGUGUAAAGGCAUAAGGAAGCUUGACUGUGAGACCUACAAGUCGAACAGGGACGAAAGUCGGUCUUAGUGAUCUGACGGUACUGAGUGGAAAGGCCGUCACUCAACGGAUAAAAGUUACUCUAGGAUAACAGGCUGAUCUCCCCCAAGAGUUCACAUCGACGGGGAGGUUUGGCACCUCGAUGUCGGCUCAUCGCAUCCUGGGGCGGUAGUACGUCCCAAGGGUUGGGCUGUUCGCCCAUGAAAGCGGUACGCGAGCUGGGUUCAGAACGUCGUGAGACAGUUCGGUCCAUAUCCGGUGUAGGCGUUAGAAUAUUGAGAGGAGCCUUCUUUAGUACGAGAGGACCGAGAAGGACAUACCUCUGGUGUACCAGUUAUCGUGCCAACGGUAAACGCUGGGUAGCUAUGUAUGGAGUGGAUAACCGCUGAAAGCAUCUAAGUGGGAAGCCCACCUCAAGAUGAUUGCUCUCACAGGGUUAACCUGGUAAGGUCACGGGAAGACCACCCGUUGAUAGGCACUCGGUGGAAGCCCAGCAAUGGAUGAAGCC